GACUUCAGUCAGCACAGUGUCUGGAGACCUUGUUGAUAUAAGACACAAUAUGGAAGUGAAGCCAUUAAAUCAAGCAGGGUCUGCAACUGUCAUACUGCUAUUUGAAAUGUUAUUGAGACCAGUGAGGAGGAGGACAGAAUACUCCAGGAGUUUUGAAAUACAAUCAGAAUGAAAAAAUAUUGGAAAGAAAUCUGCUUCACAGGUAAAGCUCAGUCACUGAAUCUAUCUACUCCUUCUCCCAUCUCUGCAGCUCCCCUCCCCUCUGAUACUCAAAGCCAAGGCAUGAAGUUACAUCUCUCUAUUUCUUCCAUCAGUUAUUGUGACAUCUGGAUGGGGUGCCACUUGAUGACAGGAGACACAACCAGAGAACUUACUCCAGCACGGUGACUAACAUGGAAGGAGAUUCUACUGCAACCUUCACUGGAAUGGCAGCACUGAAGAAAUCACUCCUGGAAAAAACAAGAAUUAUUACAUUACUCUCAGACAUCCUAGAAGGACUAAAGAUGUCAGUGAAACUAUCAGCACAGGUUAGGGAACAAAUACGGAAAGGCAGGAAAAGAGGGCUUUUAAUCAGGAAGAAAAUGCAUGUAGUAUUCUCCAAACUUAAAUCAGAAGUUUUGUACGUGAUGCAGGAUUUAGGUUCAGAUGAGCCUUUCCAAGUUAAUGGAGAUGCACAAAACUGAGUAAAAUAUGGAAAUAAAUCCUUGUAAAAGUCACCUCUAUGAAGCAAAUUAGAACUAUGCAACAGAUUUGUUACUUUCAACCUCCCAUAUAAAAACAAGAAGUCUUGUGCUUGACAUCCCCAACAUGUACCAUCAUGUCUCUGAUUGUACUAGUAAAGUCAGAUGAGUUCCAUCUUCAAUAAAUUGAGGGGAAGAUUGUAUUAUGAUAAAGCAGUUCAAAACUACCACAGAAAUUUUAUGCCAAGUUGGAAAGAGAAUAUUGAAUAUUCUCACUGAAUAUUCAGUACCUUAUAUGCUAGCAGGACAGUUCAGGAACAGAGCAUUUAAUCUAUAGACUUAUUUCCCUUUUAAGGAAACCCCAAAAGAUCUAACAGUUAGCACGUAAACAAGAUUAUAAGCAAUGCAUUUGCUGGAGUUGGUUUGCACUUGUUGAAGAAAGCAGGGACACCCCUUAUAACUAAAUAACAAAGGUUUUGCUGGACAGAGAUGAAGUGAACAUGCAGUUUUGUAAAGAACUUAAAAGGGAGCUGGGAACAAAGUGAGGCCUCAUCCUCCAUUUUUUAAUGUUUUUUGAAACACCUGCCAUUCAGUUAGCUCCUAAACUCCAAAAAUAAAGCAUCCCUUCAAAGCAUUUUCAUGGGCCCUAAGGCCAGGCAAUUGCUGAUCUGGAUGAGUCGAGAGCAUCUACUACAGAGGAAACAACAGCAGGAAGUGGGGAAUUCAUCUCAGAUUUCCUCUAACUUUACUGGUUGACUGUUAAUAGGGAAACCCCACCUACAUAUCUUAUAGGGUCAGAACCAUAACUGGAGGCUAUAGGGCAUACAGCUUCGCAAUCAUUCCAUUACAGUAAGAAUGUAUGUUUCCAGCUAAGUUCACAAACAAUGCUGAAUAGCUACUCAGAAGAAGAUUAACAGGACCUCCCACUUCAUGGAAACAGUGACUGUUUACAUAAUAUGUAAUGACAGUAAAUCAUAACAAAUCCUAGGAGAAAACUCCAGUGAGAGACAAAAUAACAAGACCAUCUGAUUUUAUUUCUUUUCCCAGUCUAACAACCCACGUCCCUGUCCUGUAAGGAUUUCUUUAUAUACUUAGCUUUCAGCACAUCUGUAACGCCACAGACUUCAAUUAGUCUAAUUAAGUGCAAAAAGAAAAAGUGUGCACAUAAGGGUGUGACCUUUUUUCCCCCCUUUGUUUAUUCAGUGACUAAUGGGGUAAAAUCCCUCUUGAUAGCUUGACUUCCCUUUCGCUAUGACACAAAUAACACUAUACUUUCCACUUUGCAAGGUUAAGCAAUUAGCAUUCUAAAAACAGGGCUGAUAUAAAGUAGCACCACUAUUGAUCUCCAUUACUAUGCUGAGCUAGACCAGCUGAGGAUCUGACCCUGCCUAAGAUGGUAAUUUGUAGCGUGCAAAGGAGCUAAAACAUAUUUUUGCCAGAUAAAGAUGUGCAAAGGGACAACCAGCUCCUGAAACUCACCUGCCAUUUGAAAUUAGCUGCUAAAUAAUGCCCUGCUUCAGAAAUCCUCAUACAAUAAUUUGCUAUAUUAUAAUUCAACAUAGUUUCCUCAAGACCGACAGAUUGCAUUUCUCCCCAGGGAACUCCUGCACUCUCUUUCUGUUUCUGCAUGUGCAAUGGGCAGACCCAUAGUUACACAACCAGAACUCAUUUCCUUAAACUGAACCAUUCUGGUGUAGAUUUUCUGAAAGGACACUCCUGUGAAAAAGUUAUCAAUUCCCUACUAAAGCAAAUGAGGGGAAAGGGAAAGGGGAAAAAACAGGAAAGGGAAAAAAGAUACAGAUAACAAAAAAAAAAGAAAGAAAGAAAAAAGACAGUCUGUUCCUGAAGCUGUGCAGUAAAAGAAUGCCUGCAUUUACAGGACGAUGUGCCACUUUUAAGGGAAGGGAUUGCCUGUAGCCGAUGCGCGGUGCUAAAUGUCAGCCUGACAGUGGCUGCAGGAAUGCAAAUUCUUCACAUCAGUGCAAGAAGGAAGCAGCACGCAUCCUGGGAGUCGUCUGCAGCCUUCUAUUAGCCCCUCACAACGUGGUUAGAGCGUCCAACAUACUGCUUGGAGAGCGCUCCUGCAGUAUCUCCCCACUUUGGGUUGGAAGUGGGUUCUGGUUGCCUUUUUUCAUAUUACUAGCGAUUUAAGCAUCAAACAAAGAAACAAAAUUCAAAACAAAAUUCUCUCACGUGAACUCACUACAUACACUUCAGCGCUUGCCCAGCUCCCACUCACACAGCAGCUAAAAGAUCUGGAGGAAAAGAACAGACCUUAAUGACCACGCGUCCCUGCGCUCUGGAGUGUGGGCUACAGCAACUAAUAACAGAUGAAGGUUUACAUGUUUUUCUUGUGUUUCUGCUGGGGUUGCUGUGUCAUUAAUUCAGCCUGUGCUUGACUACUUAUGUUAAACAUUCCCUUUGUGACUUUCUCUAAAUCUUAAAUUUUGCAUGUGACCACAUGUAAAUGUAAAUGUGUAUUUUUAUGGUCCUGUAAUCUCAGUGCUUUUAAAUCCCCGUUGCCUGAAGGCACACAGGGAGCUGAAGCAGAAAAGCUUGGUCAGUUUGUGAUCAUUUAAGCUAGUUUAUUUGCUCUUUCUGAGUAUAUUCAGCUCCUGUAGAGGUUUUUGCCUUUUGUGUAAUAGAGUACAGAUAAGAUCUAGGAACCUAAUUAACCCUGCAGGGCCUGUGAACAAGGCUCAUUAGAAAACAGUCAAACACAUUUAUAUUUGAAUACCUUAUUUACAGGAAUUCAUAUCAUAUUUCUGAACCGCAGAUAUACAUGCCACAUAAUCAUACCUUAACCACUGUAAAACAUUUCCUUAAAUUAAGCUGAAAAGUGCACCAAAUUUGAGCUCAAAGUCAUCUGGAUUAUACAUGUAAAUACCUCGUGCCUUAAUAAAUAAGUAAAAUAACUCAGUAAUAAAUGAAAGUUCUGUCUGCAGGACAUUCUAAGCUAUAAUGUCUCUUCACACACAUCCCCUCCAAAAAAUCCACAUUUCACGAAAUCAGUAUUUAUUGCAGCCUGAGCAGAAAACACCACUGUGAAACAAUUUCUCUGGGGAUUUCCCCCUCUGCCCAUGGCAGUGACA
ensembl:lncRNA